UACGGGGGGGGCAAGCGUUGUUCGGAAUUACUGGGCGUAAAGGGCUCGUAGGCGGCCAACUAAGUCGGAUGUGAAAUCCCCAGGCUUAACCUGGGAACUGCAUCCGAUACUGGUUGGCUUGAAUCCGGGAGAGGGAUGCGGAAUUCCAGGUGUAGCGGUGAAAUGCGUAGAUAUCUGGAGGAACACCGGUGGCGAAGGCGGCAUCCUGGACCGGCAUUGACGCUGAGGCGCGAAAGCGUGGGGAUCAAACAGG
rnacentral:rRNA from 1 species